UUGCUCAUGUAAUCGCUGCAUCAUUUUGGAUGUAGAGGAAAGUCCAUGCUCACACGAGCUGCGAUGCUCGUAGUGUUCGUGCUUGACGAAGUCAUAAGUCAAGGUAGCUAUAAUGCUAACGGCAGAUAUGAUACCCUAAGUUAUCUAUUGAUAAUAUGGAUUCAUUCUUGAAAGUGCCACAGUGACGUAGCUAGAUUGGAAACAUUCUAGGUGGAACGCGGUAAACCCCACGAGUGAGCAACCCAAAUUAAUGGUAGGGGCAUCCUUUAGUAGGGAAAUAGAACCGAAAAAGGGACAGAUUAUCGUCUGUAGAUAGAUGAUUACAACCGGCGUACAAGGUUGACCACCGAUUGUAGUACAAUGGUACAGAACAUGGCUUAUCGAG
rnacentral:RNase_P_RNA from 3 species